UACGGAGGAUCCAAGCGUUAUCCGGAAUCAUUGGGUUUAAAGGGUCCGUAGGCGGUUUAAUAAGUCAGUGGUGAAAGCCCAUCGCUCAACGGUGGAACGGCCAUUGAUACUGUUAAACUUGAAUUAUUAGGAAGUAACUAGAAUAUGUAGUGUAGCGGUGAAAAUGCUUAGAGAUUACAUGGAAUACCAAUUGCGAAGGCAGGUUACUACUAAUGGAUUGACGCUGAUGGACGAAAGCGUGGGUAGCGAACAGGA
rnacentral:rRNA from 1 species